GUGGGGAAUAUUGGGCAAUGGGCGAAAGCCUGACCCAGCAACGCCGCGUGAAGGAAGAAGGUUUUCGGAUCGUAAACUUCUAUCCUUGGUGAAGAUAAUGACGGUAGCCAAGAAGGAAGCCCCGGCUAACUACGUGCCAGCAGCCGCGGUAAUACGUAGGGGGCAAGCGUUGUCCGGAAUGAUUGGGCGUAAAGGGCGCGUAGGCGGCCCGGUAAGUCUGAAGUGAAAGUCCUGCUUUUAAGGUGGGAAUUGCUUUGGAUACUGUCGGGCUUGAGUGCAGGAGAGGUAAGCGGAAUUCCCGGUGUAGCGGUGAAAUGCGUAGAGAUCGGGAGGAACACCAGUGGCGAAGGCGGCUUACUGGACUGUAACUGACGCUGAGGCGCGAAAGUGUGGGGAGCAAACAGGAUUAGAUACCCGGUAGUCC
rnacentral:rRNA from 1 species